GUCUGCGACCUACCCCACAGCUCACCGCAAGGCCGGAUCCUUAACCCACUGAUCAAGGCCAGGGAUGGAGCCCGCAACCUCAUGGUUCCUAGUCGGAUUCGUUAACCCCUGAGCCAUGACAACAACUCCCUCUUCCCGCCUAUCUAUGCUCCGGAGCUGAAUGUUCUCACUACAUAAUUACCUAGAACAGCCAGCACUUCAGCAGACUGGGGGGAAUUUGCCAGUUUAAAUGGCCCUAUGGAUGGCUACAAAAUAAAGAUAUAAAGCCUCCUGUGAUCCUGGUGACAGUAGCGGGAGGAGGAAAUAGGGUCCAGACUGGCAGCGGAGGAUGAGGAGGCUGCGGCCAGGAGUCCAGGAAGCAGCAGCAACUGGAGCUGAAGGAGGGGCCGAAGCCUGGGGACAGGCAGUGCACCUCUGCCGCAUCACAUUCACCGCUUUGCGGCUGUGGGUGGAGAGCCUUUUACACUGCACUGGAUACUCCCAUGUGUUCCCCUGGUACACGGCUUGCCCUAUAUAUAUAUGUAGGUGCCUAGUUCUCCAGGGGGCUAGCUUGUCUCCGCCUUUGACUCUCUUCUGGAGCCCCUUCUCCCCUUUUCAGAGCCAAAAGCCACCUAGAGGGCCCAAGGCCACCAGGGGCUCCUCCCCCAGGACUCUGGGAUGUGGGCACCACCUACUGGGCGUCAAGAAAGGAGUUUGCAAGAUGCAUGGGAGUGACUGAAGCCAGAGUGCAGGAGGCUGAGUCCCGGCUUGUUGCUCCCGCAGCAGCAGCAGCGGCGAGAGCAACAGACGCGCUUGGCAGACGAGGAGGCAGAAGUGGAGAGGGUGCCCUCGCGAACCGCAGGAGCCGCAGGACUGGUUUCGGGAGCCUCGGCUCAGGCCACCCCAGUCCCCGGGCCGAGAGCAAGAAUGAGAGCGAGAACGGCGGCCCCGCGGGCUCGGGGCUCUUGGACCAACUGCGAUGCUUCCCACUGUGGGCUGCGCGAGCCAGACACCUGAGUCAUUGCUGCGGGAAGAGAGGGAACAGUAUCACUAGCCCAGGAAGAUCUCGGACCUUUCGUUCCCAGAACCCGCCACUGCGCAAAACUGCGAAAACUGUGGAAAUCGUUCCUGGUACGUCGUUAAAAUCCUUCCCCAGUCCUACGUGGCCUCCAGCCGGCGUGAAAAGCCGUGCGUGCAUCCAAGUAAAUAAGCCGCCGCUGCAAUCGGUUCCGCGCAUCCUUCCGGUUCCGCGGGAGGCUCGCCCGGUCUAAAUUGGAUCAGAGACCAUGUCUUUCUCAACCUCGUACUUGAAAUGACUGAAAGGAAGGAUGACAGACUACAGGAUACAUUUCAGAGUGGCCGUUUCACCAACACAGUCAAUUCUGCUUGUGUUUCAGGGGCCGAGCGCUCCCAGAGCUUCCCAGUCUUCCUCCGCCCCCCGCGGAAGGAGCCGAAGGCGGAGCGAGGCGCCGAAGCGGGGCCGCCUAGCCCUCGGGCCCCUCCGGAAAGAGCCGAACUGCGCUCGGAAGAGGAGGGCGCCUUUCGCUUCGGCGCCUCGCCCCCGCGCGGUGCCCUCUGUCGGCAGCGUGGGGCAGCUGUGGCAGCGGUGGCGGCGGGAGGCGGCAGCCGCGUCGACGUCGACCAAGACUGGAGCGACGUUUAAAGAAGGAGCCGAAUCGCCGCGGAGUCCGGCGUCUGGUUGUUGGAGGACUCCCACCCUUCCGCGCGGCCCGACGACAAGAAGCGGCGGCGCAGGGAAGCAGGCAUGGAGAGUAGAAAACUGAUUUCUGCUACAGACAUUCAAUACUCUGGCAGUCUGCUGAACUCCCUGAAUGAGCAGCGUGGCCAUGGACUUUUCUGUGAUGUCACCGUUAUUGUGGAAGACCGAAAAUUCCGAGCCCACAGGAACAUUCUUUCAGCUUCUAGUACUUAUUUCCAUCAGCUCUUCUCAGUUGCCGGGCAAGUUGUUGAACUGAGCUUUAUAAGAGCAGAGAUCUUUGCAGAAAUUCUCAAUUAUAUCUAUAGUUCUAAAAUUGUUCGUGUUAGAUCAGAUUUACUUGAUGAGUUAAUUAAAUCAGGGCAGUUGUUAGGAGUGAAGUUUAUAGCAGAGCUUGGUGUCCCAUUGUCACAGGUUAAAAGCAUCUCAGGUACCCCUCAAGAUGGUAAUGCAGAAACCUUACCUCCUGGUUCUAGUGACAAGAACCUUGAAAUACAGAAAUCAAAAGAUGAAGCCCAAGAUAAUGGGGCCACUAUAAUGCCUAUUAUAACAGAGUCUUUUUCCUUAUCUGCUGAAGAUUAUGAGACAAAAAAGAUCAUUGUUACUGAUUCAGAUGAUGAUGACGAUGACGUCAUUUUCUGCUCUGAGAUUUUGCCUGCAAAGGAGACUUUGCCGAGUAACAAUGCGGUGGCACAGGCCCAGCCUAACCCAGGCUCUGUUGCUAUUUCAGAUGUUGCACCUUGUGCGAGCAGUAGCUCUCCCCCUUUAACAAGUAUCACGCCUCCUCAGAAACUUCCUACUUCUGUGAAUCAGGCAACUCUGAGCCAAACACAGGGAAGUGAAAAAUUGCUGGUAUCUUCGGCCCCAACACAUCUGACUCCCAACAUUAUUCUGUUAAAUCAGACACCACUUACCAACCCACCAAAUGUCAGUUCUUCACUUCCAAAUCAUAUGUCUCCUUCAAUCAAUUUACUUGUGCCGAAUCAGCAGCCACCAAACAAUGCUGUUUUAACAGGAAACAAGGCCAAUGAAGAGGAGGAGGAAGAAAUUAUAGAUGAUGAUGAUGACACUAUUAGCUCCAGUCCAGAUUCGGCGGUCAGUAAUACAUCUUUGGUCCCACAGGCUGAGAUCCCCCAAAAUACCACUUUUGAUGGAUCAUUGAUACAGAAGAUGCAGGUUCCUACACUUCUGCAAGAGCCACUUUCCAAUUCUUUAAAAAUUUCAGAUAUAAUUACUAGAAACACUAAUGAUCCAGGUUUAGGAUCAAAACAUCUCACGGAGGGUCAGAAGAUUAUUACUUUAGAUACAGCUACUGAAAUUGAAGGCUUGUCGACGGGUUGCAAGGUUUAUGCGAAUAUUGGUGAAGAUACUUAUGAUAUAGUGAUCCCUGUCAAAGAUGACCCUGACGAAGGGGAGGCCAGGCUUGAGAAUGAGAUACCAAAAACAUCUAGCAGUGAGACGGCAAAUAAACGUAUGAAAGUAAAACAUGAUGAUCACUAUGAGUUAAUAGUAGAUGGAAGGGUCUAUUAUAUCUGUAUUGUAUGCAAAAGGUCGUAUGUCUGUCUGACAAGCUUGCGGAGACAUUUUAACAUUCAUUCUUGGGAGAAGAAGUAUCCUUGCCGUUACUGUGAGAAGGUAUUUCCUCUUGCAGAAUAUCGUACAAAGCAUGAAAUUCAUCACACGGGGGAGCGAAGGUAUCAGUGUUUGGCCUGUGGCAAAUCUUUCAUCAACUAUCAGUUUAUGUCUUCACACAUAAAGUCAGUUCAUAGUCAAGAUCCUUCUGGAGACUCGAAGCUUUAUCGUUUACAUCCAUGCAGGUCUUUACAGAUCAGACAAUAUGCAUACCUUUCUGAUAGGUCAGGCACUAUGCCUGUAAUGAAGGAUGAUGGUAUUGGGUAUAAGGUUGAUGCUGGGAAAGAACCUCCAGUAGGGACCACAUCUGCUCCUCAGAACAAGCCAAUGACCUGGGAAGAUAUUUUUAUUCAGCAGGAAAAUGAUUCAAUUUUUAAACAGAAUGUAACAGAUGGCAGUACUGAGUUUGAAUUUAUAAUACCAGAAUCUUAUUGAACUCCUUUGAAAUUUCAGAAAGUUUUGGUUUUGAUUAGGGGGCAGGGCUUUCAGAAGACCUGUAAAACAAAGGUUCUCAAGUUAAUAGGAUCUGCCACGUCACCUGAAGGUAGUCUAGCUGGAUUAUUUGUUGAUAAUUUUUAGAAGCAAGUUAUUCUGAAAGUUUGAAUAGAGAUGGAGCAGUUUUUCCCCCAAGUAUCUGUUUAUAUAGUUAGCUUUCAGCACAUUCAAAAGAGGCAAAAAAAAAAAAAGCUUGGAGAGAUAGUUUCCUGAAUAGAAUUUGAAGCAGUCUGAAUGUUUGAAAAUAACUGGAGUUAUUAGCAUACAUACCCUAGUUUAUCUUGCAACUUACCCCUUCUGUGUUAGCACUUUACUGCUGAAUUCUCAAUUUUCUUAAUAUUGAGACUAUAAAUGUGUGUUGUGUCUUGUAUAUGGCAUAAAAAGUAAACAAGAACUUUUAAAGUUGUCCUGGAAAUUUUCAAAAUAAGUCUCUGCUUGGUUGUCUUGGCUGUGUAUUCUGCUGGUCCAAAUGGCCUCCUGCCCCUCAUGAAAAUGGCCAUGCAGACAGGUCUCUCAUUUGAAAAAUGAAUUAGUUUUAGCUAAUCAGAAUUAAAUCUUGCUUGUAUUGCCAUAGUCUGGAAAAGACUUUGGUAGCUGGACUGUUGUAUAUAUACCUUUGCAAUGUGGUUUCCUUGGGCAAAAAUACUAAAGGAAAUCUGUAAUGCAGACAGGAGGAGAUGAAAAGUUCUCUUGCGUGUGUUUUGAAUUCUGUGAAUGGAGAUUUCCUUUUUGCUCAUUAUGGUUAUAAAUAUUCCCAUGAAAUUUUUCAAAUUUCGAAUCUGAAAACCAAAUUAAUCUUUAUGUAUAAAUCUUUAUAAAUGACAAAUUUCAUAAAUGAGGUGCCUACAUAUUUUGGGCAGGAGGCCACUGGCAUAUAUUUUUAAAUGUUCAUAGUACUUAGAAUCUCUUAAUAGGAAGUUUUUAUUUGAAAUAGUUGAAUCCGUGUUCUAGUAUUUUCCUUUCAGUAAGACCUUUUAGGUUUUUACUCCUUCUAAAAUGUUCCAUUCCAUGUGCAAAUUGCUGCAAUAUCAUAGCAGUCAGAAGCUAUAUGUGGAAGUUAAAUAGGCUUGUUGAUUCCCAUUUAUCUUGCAAACAAUACCACCUUCUUUUUAAAAUGACACAUAUUUAAACACUUAGAAAAUAAAGUAAAAACUUACUGAAGUGCUAGUACUAAAAGGGAAGCAGGUUGGAACAAAUAUAUAGCCUAGCAUUUAUAACAGGAUUGACUUUUUGAACUUCUGUAAAUGACGUUUUGCAAAGGAAAAAAAUUAAUAGAUACUGAGAAAGAUUGUUGUGCCUAGUUAUUAGUCAUUUGUAACCUUGCUUAAGUAUUUCUUAAUUCAACAUAGAUAUUUUCUUUCUCCUUAACCAUGUGUUUUUGAAAAUAGUCUAUUUCUUGACUUUGAACUUAAAGCUUUAAUCAUAAUUUCUCAUGUAUACAUCAUUCUUUUAACAGUAAGCUAGUUUUGAAGUUAAUGGUUUCAGUGUUUCUUACGAUGGUAGCUGAGGGUAUCAGGCAUCAGUAUUUGCAGUAAUAUAAGGAGGAAGAAAAACAAUACAAUCCUCUGCUUACCAAGGAUUAGAAUGAUGUGCAUCUGUUUUCUGUUCUGUGAGUUGAGACCUUUAGACCAGUCUAAACUAAUCCUUGGAAAAUUUUAAAUUACUUUAUAACUUAAGACUCUGAUCUCUGGAAUUGCAGUAUCUGUUUCCUUUCUGUGCAGGCAUUGAUAACAUUACUCUUUAACUAUAGGGUAUAUACUGAAAUAUUGUCAGUGGCAAUUUGUUUCAUUAAUGCUGUUUCACCAGUUAGACAUAAUUCUCCUAAAGGGUGAAUGAUGCUGAUGCCAGCAGAGCUUCCAGUCCUUUCAGACUUAACUGCAAGGUAAAUUAGUUUGUCAUAACUUGCUAUUAUGACAAACCAGGAAUUAAUUCUACAAUGGAAAACUAUCCAUUCUGAAUUAUCUGGAUAUAAUUAUUUGCUUCUGCUGUGCUCUGUGUAAAUUCUGAGUAUCAAAUUUCUACUUGGCCUACUGAAGGUAUCUUGUAGAGUUUUUUUGGGGAGGAGGAAAACUGGAAAAUUCACUUUAAAUUGUAUUUUUGCCAGAAGACUCUUACUUGCACGUAUGUCAGGAUCUUCAGUUUCUCUAGAAGUCUCUAUAUCCAAAGUUCAGAAUUCAUGCGGAAUACUCCUAUGGGGUUAAACCCCUUCACUACCAGCAUUUAUGGGGUUGGAAAUCAAUAGCAAGAUGCUGUUCAAAACUUAUGAUGGGGUUUUUCUAUUUUAUACUUAGUUUUCUGGCAGUUGAAAUUCCUAUUUUUUUCUCUCAAGUUGGCCUCAAAUUUGCUCUUAAGCCAAAUUACCUAUAAAUAUUUUGGAUAGGUUCUGUUUGAAAUAACAGUUUGUUAAAAGAGAUGACAGAAAAUGAAAAUGCUCAAACUAAGCCAAGAUUUUUAAGUGCCAUAGCAGUCUUGCAAGAUUCACUUUAUAUUUUAAAUGAUCGUUAUUAUCCUUUUGGUGGUAACGAUCCACCACAUACAACCAUUAUGAGGAAUUGGAUGUUCCAUUUUUCUCGUACCAAAAAGAUAAAACGAAUGGUAAACAUGAUUGCGGUAUUUUGCAUUGCCAAGGCAGGCAUAUUCUAAAGAAUUCACUGCUAAUUCAACAGCACUGGCUUUCUCACUUCUGUCAAUCAUAUGAAACCUUGUUCAUUUCUACCCAAUACUGUAAUGUUGAUACUUGUACAAUCUCCCCUGUCAUGACUUUAAGUUCUACUUUUCAUUAACCGUUACCUGAUAUUAGUUCGUAGAGCUUCUUAUGGCAAAAAUAAAAUGUUUUUAAUUCUG